ACGGAAGGCAGCAGUGGGGAAUAUUGCACAAUGGGGGAAACCCUGAUGCAGCGACGCCGCGUGAGUGAAGAAGUAUUUCGGUAUGUAAAGCUCUAUCAGCAGGAAAGAAAAUGACGGUACCUGACUAAGAAGCCCCGGCUAACUACGUGCCAGCAGCCGCGGUAAUACGUAUGGAGCAAGCGUUAUCCGGAUUUACUGGGUGUAAAGGGUGCGCAGGUGGUUUGGCAAGUCAGAAGUGAAAACCCGGGGCUCAACUCCGUGGAUUGCUUUUGAAACUGUCGAACUAGAGUCCAGGAGAGGUAAGCGGAAUUCCUAGUGUAGCGGUGAAAUGCGUAGAUAUUAGGAGGAACACCAGUGGCGAAGGCGGCUUACUGGACUGGUACUGACACUGAGGCACGAAAGCGUGGGGAGCAAACAGGAUUAGAUACCCUGGUA
rnacentral:rRNA from 1 species